GAAAAAAUAAAACGCGCAUGUGCAACUCCUCUUUCCUUGAAGCGUGGAGGCUGCAAUGGAGGGUCUUUUCCAAGGGCCGCUGAGUCGACAAAGCAGAGGAAUGCUUUACCAUGCUGAACUACAACUGUUCAGUAGGAAAUCCAAAGGAUGACCAUGGGUGAUAUGGAGACUAUAUAAGAAAUUAACUAUUGAGUAGAAGUAGUCUGGAGCAUGGAUGUCUCAAGACAAGAAAUUAACUACUGGAUAGAAGUAUCCUGGAGCAUGGAUGUCUCAAGACAAGAGUGAGAAGAAAAGCAAAUUUGAAUCGGCUGCAGUUUGACGCAUCAAGGUCGCAGCUCCUGGCGCAUAGUUGUAUAUGAACUGCAAGAUCUGCUGAUGGAGAGUGUUCAAGGUCAGGUCUCGUCUAUGAAGGGACUCCAGGUCACGCAGAUCACAGGGAAACACCGCAUCGGGUGGAAUAACAAGUGCUGAGGCACCUGCGUUCCCAAGACAGAUUCUUAAGAACAUGUUGUACAAUGAGAUGGCUCUUGACCGAUUAAAAAUAAUGUUUUCAAAUAAAAGGUCAAUGUUAAAAUUGAAAUAAAGUUUGUAUAAAGUA